rnacentral:rRNA from 1 species
AAUGAACGCUGGCGGCGGGUCUUAAGCAUGCAAGUCGGACGGCAAGGGAGUGCUUGCACUCCCCUAGAGUGGCGGACUGGUGAGGAACACGUUGGUGACGUACCCUUUGGAUGGGGAUAGCCGGUAGAAAUACCGGGUAAUACCGAAUAAGGUCGGUGGUCUCGGAAGCCACCGAGGAAAGCAGCUUCGGCUGCGCCGAAGGAACGGCCUGCGUCCCAUCAGCUUGUUGGCGGGGUAAAAGCCCACCAAGGCAAUGACGGGUAUCUGGCCUGAGAGGGUGAGCAGACACAUUGGGACUGAGAUACGGCCCAGACUCCUACGGGAGGCAGCAGCUAAGAAUAUUCCACAAUGGGCGAAAGCCUGAUGGAGCAACGCCGCGUGGACGAUGAAGGCCGGAAGGUUGUAAAGUCCUUUAGCAAGUGAGGAAUAAGCGGGACAGGGAAUGGUCUCGUGGUGACUGUAGCUUGAGAAUAAGGGUCGGCUAAUUACGUGCCAGCAGCCGCCGUAAAAC